rnacentral:rRNA from 1 species
CCCUUAGAUGUUCUGGGCCGCACGCGCGCUACACUGAUGCAUUCAACGAGCCUAUCCUUGACCGACAGGUCCGGGUAAUCUUUGAAUCUGCAUCGUGACGGGGAUAGAUUAUUGCAAUUAUUGGUCUCCAACGAGGAAUUCCUAGUAAACGCAAGUCAUCAGCUUGCAUUGAUUACGUCCCUGCCCUUUGUACACACCGCCCGUCGCACCUACCGAUUGAAUGGUCCGGUGAAAUCUUCGGAUUGAGACUUUGAUUUCUUCACGGAAAACGUUGUUUUAUAAAGUUGAUUAAACCUUACCAUUUAGAGGAAGGUGAAGUCGUAACA